GAUGAACGCUGGCGGCGUGCCUAAUACAUGCAAGUCGAACGAGGUGCUUUUGUAGCAAUACGAGAGUAUCCUAGUGGCGAACGGGUGAGUAACGCGUUGGUGACCUACCCCAAAGUGUGGGAUAACAGUCCGAAAGGAUUGCUAAUACCGCAUGUGGUCUUCGGAUUUAGAAACUGAUGACUAAAGGAGCAAUUCGCUUUGGGAGGGACCUGCGUCCCAUCAGCUAGUUGGUGAGGUAAUGGCUCACCAAGGCUACGACGGGUAGGGGACCUGAGAGGGUGGCCCCCCACAAUGGAACUGAAACACGGUCCAUACACCUACGGGUGGCAGCAGUAGGGAAUAUUGCACAAUGGGCGAAAGCCUGAUGCAGCAACGCCGCGUGUGCGAUGAAGCCUCGGGUCGUAAGCACUUUUCUGAGGAUGAGAAAGACAGUACUCAGAUAGUUCUCGGGCUAACUUACUUG
rnacentral:rRNA from 1 species